UCCUCCCUCUGGCGGCGUGCCUAAUACAUGCAAGUCGAGCGGACGGAUGGGAGCUUGCUCCCAGACCGUCAGCGGCGGACGGGUGAGUAACACGUGGGCAACCUGCCUGUAAGACUGGGAUAACUCCGGGAAACCGGGGCUAAUACCGGAUAACUCUUUCCCUCACAUGAGGGAAAGCUGAAAGAUGGCAUCUCGCUAUCACUUACAGAUGGGCCCGCGGCGCAUUAGCUAGUUGGUGAGGUAACGGCUCACCAAGGCGACGAUGCGUAGCCGACCUGAGAGGGUGAUCGGCCACACUGGGACUGAGACACGGCCCAGACUCCUACGGGAGGCAGCAGUAGGGAAUCUUCCGCAAUGGACGAAAGUCUGACGGAGCAACGCCGCGUGAGUGAUGAAGGUUUUCGGAUCGUAAAACUCUGUUGCCAGGGAAGAACAAGUACCGGAGUAACUGCCGGUACCUUGACGGUACCUGACCAGAAAGCCACGGCUAACUACGUG
rnacentral:rRNA from 1 species